rfam:Ictidomys tridecemlineatus contig094966, whole genome shotgun sequence.
UGGGGUGUAGCUCAAUGGUAGAGUGCUUGCCUAACAUGCAUAAAGCCUUGGUUUCGAUUCCCAGCACCCCAA